rnacentral:rRNA from 1 species
AGUCAAGAAAGAAAGGGCACAAGGUGGAUGCCUUGGCACAUGAAGGCGAAAAAGGACGUAAGUGAACGAAAACUAGGGUAAGCUCACAAAAAGCACUGACCCCUAGGUCUCCGAAUGGGGCAACCCGGUUGUGGAAGACACAAUCAUUACUAAGUGAAUACAUAGCUUAGUAAGGCUAAACCCUGCGAACUGAAACAUCUAAGUAGCAGGAGGAAAAGAAAGAAACAUCGAUUUUCUAAGUAGCGGCGAGCGAAAGGAAAAGAGCCUAACUCAUGAGCGAUUUUUUAAAGUUAGUCGAAUUAUCUGAAAAGAUGAACCAAAGAAAGUGAAAGUCUUGUAGACGAAAGCUUUAAGAAACGAGAGGGAAAGUAUCACCGGGCACGAGUAACCCGGUGUGAAGAUAGGGGGCCCAUCCCCUAAGGCUAAAUACUAACAUGUGACCGAUAGUGAACAAGUACCGUGAGGGAAAGGUGAAAAGAACCCCGAAAGGGGAGUGAAAUAGAACCUGAAACCUAGUGCCUACAAGCAGACAGAGCGUGAGCGAACGUGAUGUCGUACCUUUUGUAGAAUGGGCCAGCGAGUUAUUCUAUAUUGCAAGGUUAAUGAUUUAAGAUCAGAAGCCGUAGCGAAAGCGAGUCUUAAUAGGGCGAAAGUAAGAUGGAAUAGACCCGAAACCGGGUGAUCUAUCCAUGGUCAGAGUGAAGUUGAAGUAAAAUUCAAUGGAGGCUCGAACCGGGUGCGGUUUAAAACGCAUCGGAUGAACUGUGGAUAGGGGCGAAAAACCAAACGAACCCGGAGAUAGCUGGUUCUCCUCGAAAUAGCUUUAGGGCUAGCCUCUGACCUAAGAUUUUAGGGGGUAGAGCACUGAAUGGUCUAGGGCGGAUUACCGUACCAAAACCUAUCAAACUCCGAAUACCAAAAAAUCAAGUCAGGGAGUCAGACUUAGGGGGAUAAGCUUCUAAGUCGAAAGGGAAACAGCCCAGACCGACAGCUAAGGUCCCAAAAUUUGAAUUAAGUGGAAAAGGAUGUGAAUCUACUAAGACAACCAGGACGUUGGCUUAGAAGCAGCCAUGCAUUUAAAGAAUGCGUAAUAGCUCACUGGUCAAGUGGGUUUGCGCCGAAAAUGAACGGGGCUAAAUUCAAUACCGAAGCUUCGGAUUAAUAGAGGAAUUAAGUUUACAAAUGAGACUAGGAAAUAUUUAACAAAAACAAUAACAGAAGAGAUUAAGAAAAUACAAAUUUCAGACGCAGACAUAAAGAUAGGAUAUUAAAGAAAAUAUUCAAAAAACACAAGUCUAAAGUCAAAGUAGGUAUCAUAAGAAAUUAUGAACUAACAAUCACUGGUUAGAGUUAAAAAAACUAGGACUCAUAGCUAAACUUAAUACCUCUAUUAGUGGUAGAGGAGCAUUGUAUUAGAGACGAAGCCAAGGCGAAAGCAAAAGUGGAUUUAAUACAAGAGAGAAUGCUGGCAUGAGUAGCGAGAAGGGAUGUGAGAAUCAUCCCCGUCGAAACCCUAAGGUCUCCUGAGCAAGGCUCGUCCCCUCAGGGAAAGUCGGGACCUAAGCCAAGGCCGAAAGGCGUAGGCGAUGGAUAACAGGUUUAUAUUCCUGUACCGCUUGAAGUCGAUAUGAGAGAAGUGAUGACGCAAAAGGAUAAUCAAAGCCAUCUGAUGGAUGAUGGUCUAAAGUCGUAGGAAGAAAGGUAGGCAAAUCCGCCUUUCACAAAUUCUGAAAACCGAUAGGUAUCGAAAACAUAAGUAGAGAAGUUGAUGACUCCAUGUUGCCAAGAAAAGUCACUAUCCAGACCAAAGCGCCCGUACCAAAACCGACACAGGUAGGGAGGUAGAGAAUACCAAGACGCGCGGAAGAACCUUUGUUAAGGAACUCGGCAAAAUGUCCCCGUAACUUCGGGAGAAGGGGAGCCUGAGCAAUCAGGCCACAGAAACCAGGCCCAAGCGACUGUUUACCAAAAACACAAGUUUCUGCAAAAUCGCAAGAUGAAGUAUAGGAGCUGACACCUGCCCGGUGCUGGAAGGUUAAGGGGAAGGCUUAGAGCAAUCGAAGGCUAGAACUUAAGCCCCAGUAAACGGCGGCCGUAACUAUAACGGUCCUAAGGUAGCGAAAUUCCUUGUCGGGUAAGUUCCGACCCGCACGAAAGGUGUAACGA